UUCGUCGCUACUUCUUAGAGGGACUUUGUGUGUUUAACACAAGGAAGCUUGAGGCAAUAACAGGUCUGUGAUGCCCUUAGAUGUUCUGGGCUGCACGCGCGCUACACUGACACGAUCAACAAGUAUUUCCUUGCCCGGUAGGGUUAGGGUAAUCUUUUGAAAUCGUGUCGUGCUAGGGAUAGACGAUUGCAAUUAUUCGUCUUCAACGAGGAAUUCCUAGUAAAUGCAAGUCAUCAGCUUGCGUUGAUUACGUCCCUGCCCUUUGUACACACCGCCCGUCGCUCCUACCGAUUGAGUGAUCCGGUGAGCUGUCCGGACUGCGAUUAGUUCAGUUUCUGUUCUCUUCGCGGGAAGUUCUGCAAACCUUAUCACUUAGAGGAAGGAGAAGUCGUAACAAGGUUUCCGUAGGUGAACCUGCGGAAGGAUCAUUC
rfam:Perkinsus marinus ATCC 50983 gcontig_1104296661774, whole genome shotgun sequence.